UACAUGUGGGGCAAGCGUUGUUCGGAAUUACUGGGCAUAAAGGGUGCGUAGGCGGUUUGUUAAGUCACUGGUGAAAGUUUUCGGCCCAACCGGAAAAUUGCCUGUGAUACUGGCGAACUCGAGUGCGUGAGGGGUAGGGGGAACGAGCAGUGUAGCGGUGAAAUGCGUAGAUAUCCGGAGGAACACCGGUGGCGAAGGCGGCUUCCUGGACCGAUACUGACGCUGAGGCGCGAAAGCUAGGGGAGCGAACAGG
rnacentral:rRNA from 1 species